UGUUAAAAUUUUCAUCUAUUUAUACUAUUAAAAACUGGCAUGGCUGGUGAAAUAAUCAGAUAGUAGUGAUAGGUGGCGUGCCACAUGUACCUCAUGGCGAUGUACAAAGAGCAGUUUUUAAUAAUAAAAAUAGAUGAGUUUUUUAAUA
rfam:Gossypium raimondii Chr13_contig_1284, whole genome shotgun sequence.